rnacentral:rRNA from 1 species
CCUACGGGAGGCAGCAGUGAGGAAUAUUGGACAAUGGGCGCAAGCCUGAUCCAGCCAUGCCGCGUGCAGGAAGACGCAUCUAUGGUGUGUAAACUGCUUUUGUACGGGAAGAAACACUCCCUCGUGAGGGAGCUUGACGGUACCGUAAGAAUAAGGAUCGGCUAACUCCGUGCCAGCAGCCGCGGUAAUACGGAGGAUCCAAGCGUUAUCCGGAAUCAUUGGGUUUAAAGGGUCCGUAGGCGGUUUAAUAAGUCAGUGGUGAAAGCCCAUCGCUCAACGAUGGAACGGCCAUUGAUACUGUUAGACUUGAAUUACUAGGAAGUAACUAGAAUAUGUAGUGUAGCGGUGAAAUGCUUAGAUAUUACAUGGAAUACCAAUUGCGAAGGCAGGUUACUACUAGUGGAUUGACGCUGAUGGACGAAAGCGUGGGGAGCGAACAGGAUUAGAUACCCUGGUAGUCCACGCCGUAAACGAUGGGUACUAGCUGUUGGGCGCAAGUUCAGUGGCUAAGCGAAAGUGAUAAGUAUCCCACCUGGGGAGUACGUUCGCAAGAAUGAAACUCAAAUGAAUUGACGG